ensembl:lncRNA LINC01968 long intergenic non-protein coding RNA 1968
GGAAAUAACACAAGAGGCAAAGAUCACUCGGGACCACCUUGUAUAUUGGCUACCACAGAACCCAACACAAGCAGUAAGUUAAAAUCAUGAAGCUCCUGACGUCAGAGGACAUGGCUCUGCCAUUUGUUAGGUAGGGAUCCUGUUAAAGGCUCAGCUUCCUCAUCUGGAAAUGGAAAUAUAGGCCUUGCCUGGUUUGCUGUAAUGGGUCGUGAUGAGGACCAAACUACAAAGAGUGGUACAGAUGUUAAUUACAAUGAUUUUUCCUAUGCCACCCAUGGAAACAAAAAUAGCAAGAUAGAGAAGGCUAAAUCCCAGUUUUUUUUGACUGCUAUUCAGCAAAGCCUAGGAGACUUUCAUGACACCUGGAGAGGCGGCCGUAGUGUAUGUGUAAGAGUACCGGUUCCAGAGUGGGGCUCCCCGAGCUCAGCCCCACCACUUACCAACAGCGGACCUUGGGCCAGAUGCUGAAGCCCUUUGUGCCUUGGUUUCCUGACCUAUUACUGUGGAAAUGAUGACAGUACCCUCCUCAUGGCAUCGUGAGAAUUAAAUUAGCUAAUUCAGGUGAAGCAUUUAGAAGAGGACCUCCUGACACUUAAUAACUGCUUGAUAUAAAUAAUAGCUUCUGCUACAGAGUGGCCAUGAAGUCUGGACAUGUAGAUAUUAUAUUAUCAUGCAUCAUAAGGGCCUGGGUCUGAAGAGUAACACAAGCAAUAGCUCUGCCUAAAACCUAUCUUGGAUUUUGUACAAGAAAGUUGUGAAGAAGUAAGAGUGACUGGUGUUAAAUGAUCAUCUCAUAGGAAUUACUACAGAAUUUGACCAUCAGCCUGGGCUCCUUUUUGUGCUUCCUGGGACCAUCUAAAUUAGUAGUUACAACGUUAAGUUACAAUGCUAAAUUGGAAAAAUAAAAGGAGUUUUCAGUUG